CGGACGGGUGAGUAACACGUGGAUAACCUACCUAUAAGACUGGGAUAACUUCGGGAAACCGGAGCUAAUACCGGAUAAUAUAUUGAACCGCAUGGUUCAAUAGUGAAAGACGGUUUUGCUGUCACUUAUAGAUGGAUCCGCGCCGCAUUAGCUAGUUGGUAAGGUAACGGCUUACCAAGGCAACGAUGCGCAGCCGACCUGAGAGGGUGAUCGGCCACACUGGAACUGAGACACGGUCCAGACUCCUACGGGAGGCAGCAGAC
rnacentral:rRNA from 1 species